AAACAGGUGUCAGGGCCCAAGCCAAGUAGUCUUGAGGUCAGGACAGGGUGUCACUUCUAAACGAGGCGCCUGAGCCCAAAGCAGGCCUGAGGCAAAACCCAUUCGCCCUGGCAACAGCAUGACAGACGGACCCACUCUGGGAGCAAGGGAUCCUGAGUUUAAGUAAGCCAGGAUGAGGCCCCGAAAGACUAGAUGAUUUGGCCAAGAAAAAGGACACAGCAGAACUGGCAGAGCUGGAUGUGACCCCGAGCAGACUGGCCCCAGCUCCUCUUGACUGCGACGCAACCUUCCCGAAGCCUGCCCGUGACCCCGUCCUCUCCCUUGGAGCGCUUAGAUCAUCUUGGAAUAGCACUUGUGUCGAUGGGAUUGUCUGCGAGUGCCCACUCCAGGGGCGGAUUCUGAGCUAGCUGCCUUGGUGUUUGCUCACCACCACGUACCCAGCACCUAGCUCUGCCCCGACCAGAAACUUCGGGACAGCCCCCGUGUGAGAGGUUGCCAGGAGGCUCAGAUGAGAUAAAGAACUUGAAGUAACAGCCAGCUGCAGAAGAAUGAUGCAUGUGUGCCUCUGUUCAAGGAGACGCUGAACAAUCCAUUUCUAACUGAUGAAUCAAUCCCAUGCUGUGGUAUCUUCAUUACCUGUUUGAAAAGUUCUCCAGGACCAGGCUGGCUAUCUAAGAGAGAAAGUUAUUCUACUUCGGGGCAAGAGACUUCUUGGCAUUUGUGGCUGAGGUCUUUAUUUUUCAAGGAGGUGUCCUUAUUUGCUGAAGACAAUUUCUUGGCUCAAAUGAACCAGCUCAGCAGUCACCUGUGUUCGCUGACAGACUGUUGCUUCCUAAUAUUGCCCCACCUGGGGUGUGUGUGGGGGCCCUUGGUGGGUGACGUGAAUAUCUAUAUCUAUUUAGGGCCAGGUGGUGGCAGCUUCAGCUGUAGUCCCCACAGGUGGCUUGGCUCUUAAUCAAACUCCUUCUGAUUCACAUGAGAAGUCUUCUUCAGGAAUUUCUUCUCGCUGCUCAAAAGUGUGCGUCCCAUUGCCAUGGACAGCACGAGUUUCAGAAAAUCUGGGGCUCAAAUGAGAACAGGAGGUUGUGACCUUG
rnacentral:lncRNA from 1 species